rnacentral:rRNA from 1 species
AUACGGAGGGGGCUAACGUUGUUCGGAAUUACUGGGCGUAAAGCGCGUGUAGGCGGAUCGUUAAGUCAGGGGUGAAAGCCCGGAGCUCAACUCCGGAAUUGCCCUUGAUACUGGCGGUCUAGAGGCCGGGAGAGGUGAGCGGAAUUCCCAGUGUAGAGGUGAAAUUCGUAGAUAUUGGGAGGAACACCAGUGGCGAAGGCGGCUCACUGGCCCGGUUCUGACGCUGAGACGCGAAAGCGUGGGGAGCAAACAGGAUUAGAAACCCUAGUAGUCU